rnacentral:lncRNA from 1 species
UCUUCCUCAUCUCUGACAGCCAUUGUGUUGCCCUGCUGAAGCCUCCCAACCCUCUAAAACCCUAUUUUCCUCUUUUCAAAACUGGUCAACCCCUAUUUCGAGAGUCUUCAGGUGUGAGAUUGUUGGGUUUCGAUCAAGCAGCAAAAGAUUAGAUUUCAAAAAUAUUUAUAAAACCCAAGAACAUCCAAAACCCUAAACCCUACGAUCCCUUUUGAUGCAUUCAAUCAAAUUAAUAAACUAUGAUAAAAUGAAGCAUGUAAUCAUAUAAAUACCUCAAUCGCUAUUUUCAAUAUCUCCAUAAGGUAUACAAGCAUAUAUCCUCCAAUGAUGAUCC